GUGCUCACUUCAGCAGCACACAUAUUAAAAUUGGAAUGAUACAGAGAAGGUUGGCAUGGCCCCUGUUCAAGUAUGACGCCCGAACUUGUGAAGCAUUUCAUCUUUUG